ACAAAUUUCAUGUAUGCCAGUAAAUUUAUUUUGCAAAUGACCAAAAUACCCUUUUUCAUUUUCUUUAAAUGAUAACUUGUAAAAAUGCUAGCAACUUUAGUUGGUGAACCACUACAUUAACUUGGUGAGUGUAUAUCUAGCAAAUCAGCCAAAAUUAUCAGCCACAGCAACAUAUCAUUGUAUAUAUAUAGAUUUAAGAGAGAGAAAGUAUACUAAACUUAGUCAUUUUGUACACAAGCUUUCACCAACUCUUAUUCUCUCUCAAAGCUCCGAAAUUAUCAAGUAGAUCAGUCAUAUUAUAGCCCUUUAAAAUAUCUAGAUCAGAUUGUUA
rnacentral:lncRNA from 1 species